AUUGAACGCUGGCGGCAGGCCUAACACAUGCAAGUCGAGCGGAUGAAGGGAGCUUGCUCCUGGAUUCAGCGGCGGACGGGUGAGUAAUGCCUAGGAAUCUGCCUGGCAGUGGGGGAUGACGUCCGGAAACGGGCGCUAAUACCGCAUACGUCCUGAGGGAGAAAGUGGGGGAUCUUCGGACCUCACGCUAUCAGAUGAGCCUAGGUCGGAUUAGCUAGUUGGUGGGGUAAAGGCCUACCAAGGCGACGAUCCGUAACUGGUCUGAGAGGAUGAUCAGUCACACUGGAACUGAGACACGGUCCAGACUCCUACGGGAGGCAGCAGUGGGGAAUAUUGGACAAUGGGCGAAAGCCUGAUCCAGCCAUGCCGCGUGUGUGAAGAAGGUCUUCGGAUUGUAAAGCACUUUAAGUUGGGAGGAAGGGCAGUAAGUUAAUACCUUGCUGUUUUGACGUUACCAACAGAAUAAGCACCGGCUAACUUCGUG
rnacentral:rRNA from 1 species